CCCGUCUGAAACGCCAAUGAACAAAAGUAGACGAAUUGGGUAAAAGCGCUAUUUGCGCGACGAAGCUACGGUGCGAGGAGAAAUUGGUCAGUUUUGGCCAGAACUCGCUUGAGUGUGUAUCAUAUUUAUUCCUUCGUGGUGGACCUGAGUUAAAUUUAACAGAAAAUACACUAAAUGGACUAGAAACAUCAAAAGAACAUCGAAUAACGUAAUACAAGAAGAUUCAAAUCAAGAGAAACAUAAAAGAACAGCAGUUAAAUAUUAAAUCACACAAAAAGAAUUAUCACAUGGCUUUGAAGAAGCGAUGCACACUCUAAGACUCAGGCUCCACCACGACAUUGUGGGUUCCCAAAAAUAAUUGUGGGUUUACCCAUAUAAUAUAUUGCAUAUUUGAACAUAUUAGAACAAUGAACAUAGACCAUUGCCUAGGAAUUCAACUCACACAGCAGCACUUCCACCCAGCAGUUAACCUGUCUUUCAUGGUACCCAGAAGAUAUGCUUAAGUGGACGCAUAUCUCUUGUUGCCUGAAAUAGCUGUUGAUUGGAAAAGAUAAGAUUGUUUUCUUUUCUUUAAUUACAUCUACUUGUGUGAGCUUAAUUAUAUGUGCAUAUAAUCAAGCAAAACUAUAUAGAAUUAUCUUUAUAAACAGGGGGGUUUGUUUUUGGUUUUUCUUUAAUAAUGUAAUGGUAAAUAAUAAGUCACUAAGUCAGUUUUAAAAUAAUUAAGGGUUAUCAAAAUUUAGAUAGAGGGUUUUUGUUUGAGAAAAGUAAAAGUAUAGGGUUUUCACUAGUAUGUAAAAAAAGAGAUUCUGGCCGAGCUCACUUAUCUACAUAACAAAUUAUAAAGUUUCUCAUUUAAAGCAAUACUUAUUUGCUACUUUAAGUAGAUUUUGUUGUUAUUCAUCAGGGUGAAUACUUCACCUCCAUUUUAAUUUCUGCUAGGUAAAGCAGUUAUUUGUGUUAACCGUAACGGUUUUAUUCUUCUUUUUCUGUGCUUUACCUAGACGAGGAUAUUUAAAGUUAAUUAACUAACCGUAGUGUUAAGACUUAUGCUAUUCACAUGGACUUAUGAUUAGUUAUCUCUACUAACCUUUGCUUUGCCAGUAGUGAUGUUUCAUUUUUGAUAGCGGCUUUUAGGUCCUCUUUACUACCUACGCAUCACUACUGUUCCAGUUUUAUGUAUAUUUGUAUCAACUCGUUCUACGUUGUUGAAUAAAGAUUAUAGAUUAUAUAUUUGUUAAUAUAUUUGUCGUUACUA